rnacentral:rRNA from 1 species
GUCUACAGCCAUACCAUCCUAAAUGUGCCUGAUCUCAUCUGAUCUUGGAAGCCAAGCAAGGUCAGGUCUCAUUAGUACUUGGAUGGGAAGACUUGAUGAUAAGUGGAAUUGUUGGAU